rnacentral:rRNA from 1 species
GACGAACGCUGGCGGCGUGCCUAAUACAUGCAAGUAGAACGCUGAAGGAGGAGCUUGCUUCUCUGGAUGAGUUGCGAACGGGUGAGUAACGCGUAGGUAACCUGCCUGGUAGCGGGGGAUAACUAUUGGAAACGAUAGCUAAUACCGCAUAAUAGCAGUUGUUGCAUGACAACUGUUUGAAAGGUGCAAUUGCACCACUACCAGAUGGACCUGCGUUGUAUUAGCUAGUUGGUGGGGUAACGGCUCACCAAGGCGACGAUACAUAGCCGACCUGAGAGGGUGAUCGGCCACACUGGGACUGAGACACGGCCCAGACUCCUACGGGAGGCAGCAGUAGGGAAUCUUCGGCAAUGGACGGAAGUCUGACCGAGCAACGCCGCGUGAGUGAAGAAGGGUUUCGGAUCGUAAAGCUCUGUUGUAAGAGAAGAGCGAGUGUGAGAGUGGAAAGUUCACACUGUGACGGUAUCUUACCAGAAAGGGACGACUAACUACGUG